GAUAAACGCUGGCGGCGUGCCUAAUACAUGCAAGUCGAGCGAACGGACGAGAAGCUUGCUUCUCUGAUGUUAGCGGCGGACGGGUGAGUAACACGUGGAUAACCUACCUAUAAGACUGGGAUAACUUCGGGAAACCGGAGCUAAUACCGGAUAAUAUUUUGAACCGCAUGGUUCAAAAGUGAAAGACGGUCUUGCUGUCACUUAUAGAUGGAUCCGCGCUGCAUUAGCUAGUUGGUAAGGUAACGGCUUACCAAGGCAACGAUGCAUAGCCGACCUGAGAGGGUGAUCGGCCACACUGGAACUGAGACACGGUCCAGACUCCUACGGGAGGCAGCAGUAGGGAAUCUUCCGCAAUGGGCGAAAGCCUGACGGAGCAACGCCGCGUGAGUGAUGAAGGUCUUCGGAUCGUAAAACUCUGUUAUUAGGGAAGAACAUAUGUGUAAGUAACUGUGCACAUCUUGACGGUACCUAAUCAGAAAGCCACGGCUAACUACGUGCCAGCAGCCGCGGUAAUACGUAGGUGGCAAGCGUUAUCCGGAAUUAUUGGGCGUAAAGCGCGCGUAGGCGGUUUUUUAGUCUGAUGUGAAAGCCCACGGCUCAACCGUGGAGGGUCAUUGGAAACUGGAAAACUUGAGUGCAGAAGAGGAAAGUGGAAUUCCAUGUGUAGCGGUGAAAUGCGCAGAGAUAUGGAGGAACACCAGUGGCGAAGGCGACUUUCUGGUCUGUAACUGACGCUGAUGUGCGAAAGCGUGGGGAUCAAACAGGAUUAGAUACCCUGGUAGUCCACGCCGUAAACGAUGAGUGCUAAGUGUUAGGGGGUUUCCGCCCCUUAGUGCUGCAGCUAACGCAUUAAGCACUCCGCCUGGGGAGUACGACCGCAAGGUUGAAACUCAAAGGAAUUGACGGGGACCCGCACAAGCGGUGGAGCAUGUGGUUUAAUUCGAAGCAACGCGGAGAACCUUACCAAAUCUUGACAUCCUUUGACAACUCUAGAGAUAGAGCCUUCCCCUUCGGGGGACAAAGUGACAGGUGGUGCAUGGUUGUCGUCAGCUCGUGUCGUGAGAUGUUGGGUUAAGUCCCGCAACGAGCGCAACCCUUAAGCUUAGUUGCCAUCAUUAAGUUGGGCACUCUAAGUUGACUGCCGGUGACAAACCGGAGGAAGGUGGGGAUGACGUCAAAUCAUCAUGCCCCUUAUGAUUUGGGCUACACACGUGCUACAAUGGACAAUACAAAGGGCAGCGAAACCGCGAGGUCAAGCAAAUCCCAUAAAGUUGUUCUCAGUUCGGAUUGUAGUCUGCAACUCGACUACAUGAAGCUGGAAUCGCUAGUAAUCGUAGAUCAGCAUGCUACGGUGAAUACGUUCCCGGGUCU
rnacentral:rRNA from 1 species